ACCUUCCUUAUGAAAGGUGUAGGGAUCAAGUCCCGUCUGAGGGACAUUAGAUCAAAGGGUAUAAGGUAGGGGGAGGGCUACCUCAAUUGUGUAAACUAUAAGUCGUUUAAUGGAAAUAGAAUGAAAUCAACCCUGUAUUUUGAUGGUCAAUAGCUUGAUUAUUGUGGAAUGUGGUUGCAGCAAUUCAAGCCCGGGUAUGCCGCAUCACCUAUGUUCCAUUAUGGUGGUGUUCCAACGAACUUCAGGGGAAAUUUGGAGAUUCCCAGAAGGGACCUGCAUAAUUUUCAGUUUACAGCGACAGUGGCUGAUCCCAAUUUUCUGGAUCAUGAAUUUGAUGACUAUACAGUUCGCACUUCCAGAAGCCUGAUGUGCUGCCGCAUAGUUGCUACAAUUGUACUCUCUCUCACAUUCACACACACACACACACACACAUUUUGAAGAUACAAGUAAUUCUAUAUGGCAUAUGGUUAGAUUUUGAAGACACAAAGUCUAUAUGGCAUAUGGUUGAAAGGCUAAGAAUUUAAGUGUGUUAAAAUUUUAAUGGGUGCAAUGGUACUCAAAAUACGUUAUCAAACACUAAAUUAAUUGGAUAAGCACUUAAACCGUUCAGAAUUAAGUAUUGAAUUAGGUUAUCAAGCAGCAUGAGUUGUUUUUUGGUUAUGAUGACCAAGGAGGUUCUUAAAACGACUGCAGAAGCAUCAAAACUGCUCUGGCAACAGUGUCGUUUCACUCACUUCAAUUCAGUGUACUUACAGUGAAACAAAGGAGAUCUGGUAUCCCGGAAGUUUACGGUUCUUCUGUUGUUGCGCUAUACACUACCAAUCAUUAUUUAUGGAGCUGGAGAAUACUCAAUGAAAUUGUUCAUGUUACUGGUGUUGCAGUUACUGGUGUUAAGAACUAUCGGAAUUCUUUUGCCAAUCUGUAUCAUGGUUAAAAUAUUUACCAGUAUCCAACGUCGCCGACAUCAACAGGAUCCUCAUAGCUUCUCCAUUGCUACUGGAUCAGAUGAAGAAAAUGAAUUGACCGAGUCAGAGUCGCAGCCUCAGCCACAUCUCAUUCACGUGCAGUAAUGGCAUCAAGUACUGCAUGUAUGAGGGGAAACAACCAUGGUCUACAAAUUUAUGUUUGGUACCAACCACCAAAGGAAGUCUCGUGAUAUCAUAUAAAUGUUCAUAUGGCCCAGGUGGUGUCACACUGACUUUGCUCUGCAUCGUCCUUGGAUCUCAUUAACAAGCAAUCUAGUGAAAUGUAGAGUUACAAAAAGGUAACUGCUUUGAAGAAACAGUUCAAUAAAAGCCGAUAAAAUGUUCGGGAAAAAAGAUUGGUCAAAGCUAGCAAACAGCAUGAUUGAUCUGAAAAUACAAGGAGUUGGGAGAACAUGAAAAUGUAAAUACAUAUAUUUCACUUGAAGCUUU